rnacentral:rRNA from 1 species
UACGAAGGGGGCUAGCGUUGCUCGGAAUUACUGGGCGUAAAGCGUGCGCAGGCGGUGAUGUAAGACAGAUGUGAAAUCCCCGGGCUCAACCUGGGAACUGCAUUUGUGACUGCAUCGCUGGAGUGCGGCAGAGGGGGAUGGAAUUCCGCGUGUAGCAGUGAAAUGCGUAGAUAUGCGGAGGAACACCGAUGGCGAAGGCAAUCCCCUGGGCCUGCACUGACGCUCAUGCACGAAAGCGUGGGGAGCGAACAGG